GGCCUGUCGGAUACUCUUUCCCUGUUGCACUACUGUGGGCCUCUGGGAAGCAGUGCAAUGAUGAAAGGGCAUCAGCCAAGCC
rnacentral:pre_miRNA from 1 species